rnacentral:lncRNA from 1 species
UGAGUAGCUGGAACCACAGGUUCUCGGCUCACUUGGCACUUCUUCUUGUGUGAGGGUGGUUUGACUUGGAUGGGCUCCUUCAGCAAUUGAAUAGAAUUACUGGUUCCCAAACAAUAAUUGGUGUGAGUGGAGAGGAGUUCAUUGAUCCAAGACCCAAAAGGAAAAAGAAUAAAGAAUAUAAAAGUUCAAAAGGAUUCUGAGCCAAUUUUCUUUUAUCUUUUGGGGGCUAAAAUGUCAUUUAAGAAAAAGAAAUUAUAGCCAGGUGCAUUGGCUCAUGCCUGUAAUCCCAGCACUUUGGGAGCCAACUGGGUGGACAAUUUGAGGUCGGGAGUUCGAGACCAGCCUGGCCAACAUGGUGAAACCCUGUCUCUACAAAAAGACACACAAAAAUUAGCCGGCGUGGUGGUACACACCUGUAGUCCCAGCUACUCAGGAGGCUGAGGCAGGAGAAUCAGUAGAAGUCAGGAGGCAGCGGUUGCAAUAAGCCAAGAUCACACCAUUGCACUCCAGCCUGGGCAACAGAGUGAGACUCUGUCU